GGAUGACCUCCUCUCUCUCUCUCUUUAGUCUUUCCUUUGUCCCUGACGCUUUCGACCUCUUCUCUUACUGACCUGGCAGCUUCCCUUGUUUCUUGAGGGGGAGUACUCAUCCUCUGUUUUUAAAAGUGGGUCUCCCUCUCCUCCUUCGGGCGGAGUUGAUUUAUAUUGAUGCAGAUGAGGGGUUAAUGAAGAGGAUUUUAGGGGAAUUACAUGUCUAAAACUCUUAGUCUUUAAUCUUGAGCUGCUUAUUUUAUUUGAUUCUAUUUCUUGUUCCUGCGUGGGUUUGCUUAAUUAUAGGUUAUAGUUUCUCAGUGGUGCUUGUUUUGAGAAGAAAUGAUGGUGGUGGAUUGUAGAGUGCAGUUUGGGAAGCUGACCCAGAGAGUGCGAAUGGGACGCCAAAGAACACCACACCCUUUUUGACCUCUGUGCUUAUCGGUCAUCUGUAGCCAUCGGAGUUUCAGUUAUGUUUGGCCUUGUUUGACCAUUUUUUACCUCUCAGCGUAUCGAUCAUUUGCAGCCACUGGAGUUUUAGUUAUGUUUUGCCCUGUUGGGAGAUCCUUGGGACGCGUCUAGGCAAGGAGUUAUUUCGAAUAUGCUCAAAAUGCAACAGUCAUGGUUGCCGUUUUAGCAUUGAUGAGGAUUUCUGGUGCUUAUUUGGGUGGCUAAUUUGUCUUGAGGAAGAAACAAGCAGCCUGGUAAUGUCUAAGGUUUCUGUGGAUAUAAGGUAUUUAAGUUAUCAGGCCUGACUAGCCUGAGCUCAUUUGAUUUAUGAUUUUAAGCUAAAGUUUGAUUUGAUUUAUAGGUUUAGGUCUUUAAUAUGUAUCCUUUUGUCUUUAAUGGGCCCUAGACCUUUUCUAUUGUAAUGAAUUUAUCUAUUAAAAAAAAAUGCCACCCUAAUGAUGAUGAGUAGACAUGGUA
rnacentral:misc_RNA from 1 species